AUUGAACGCUGGCGGCAGGCCUAACACAUGCAAGUCGAACGAGUGGCGGACGGGUGAGUAAUGUCUGGGAAACUGCCUGAUGGAGGGGGAUAACUACUGGAAACGGUAGCUAAUACCGCAUACCAUCGGAUGUGCCCAGAUGGGAUUAGCUAGUAGGUGGGGUAACGGCUCACCUAGGCGACGAUCCCUAGCUGGUCUGAGAGGAUGACCAGCCACACGGGAACGGAGCAACGGUCCAGACCCCGACGGUAGGCAGCAGUGGGGAAUAUGGCACAAUGGGCGCAAGCCUGAUGCAGCCAGGCCGCGUGUAUGAAGAAGGCCUUCGGGUUGUAAAGUACUUUCAGCGGGGAGGCUUUACCCGCAGAAGAAGCACCGGCUAACUCCGGGCCAGCAGCCGCGGUAAUUC
rnacentral:rRNA from 1 species